UGGGAUUUAGCUCAGUGGUAGAGCACUUGCCUAGCAAGCACAAGGCCCUGGGUUCGAUCCCCAGCUCAA
rnacentral:tRNA from 1 species